GUCUGUGAUGCCCUUAGAUGUUCUGGGCCGCACGCGCGCUACACUGCCCAAGGCAACGAGUUUACAACCUUGGCCGGAAGGUCUGGGUAAUCUUUUGAAACUUGGUCGUGCUGGGGAUAGUCCAUUGCAAUUAUUGGACUUGAACGAGGAAUUCCUAGUAAGCGCAAGUCAUCAGCUUGCGUUGAUUACGUCCCUGCCCUUUGUACACACCGCCCGUCGCUACUACCGAUUGAAUGGCUUAGUGAGACCUCCGGAUUGGCGCUUUGUGGCUGGCAACGGCCGCGAUCUGCUGAAAAGCUGGUCAAACUUGGUCAUUUAGAGGAAGUAAAAGUCGUAACAAGGUUUCCGUAGGUGAACCUGCGGAAGGAUCAUCACUGAUUCGCGGGGUCUGUGUUCCUGUGUGUGCUGCGUGUAUAGCGCGCGCACAUAGCGAGCCGCCCCAACCCAAUCUUGUGUGCACCGUUUCACUGGUCAAAGGAUGACGUGUGGUGGUUGUGUGUGUUGGUGGGAGUGCGUGCGUGCGCGUAUCACAGUAAUGUGUGCCUGCGCGCUGCCCUCACCGACUGCACGCGCCCCGUCGUUCUAAAUUUAUACAAUAAUCUCUUGGUGUUAACUUUGUCUAACGCGCAUUACUUAAAAUAACACAUACAACUUUUAACAAUGGAUCUCUUGGCUCUCGCAUCGAUGAAGAACGCAGCAAAUUGCGAAAAUUAAUGUGCAUUGCAGUACGUGAAUCAUCGAGUCUUUGAACGCAACUUGCACUCUAGGUUCUCCUAGAGUAUGCCUAUUUGAGUAUCGGUACAACACCCACUCAAACCCCCCUUAGCGUGCGGGUUUGGAUCUGAUGAGUCGUGUGCCACCACCAUCUCGCGUGGCGCUGACUUGAAGUAGUACGUGUAUAUUGAAUCGGGCCUAUGCAUACCACCGCGUGCGCACACCUGGUUCUGACGUGAUAGUCUCAUUCUUGGGAACUCGUCAGCACAGGCGCGCAAUCCACGUGGAUCGGUCAUAGUGUUUCCCAGUCACCCACCCCACAUUCUUGAUAUUAUGAAUCUCGAUCUCAAAUUAGGUAGGACUACCCGCUGAAUUUAAGCAUAUCAAUAAGCGGAGGAAAAGAAACUAACAAGGAUUCCCCUAGUAACUGCGAGUGAAGCGGGAACAGCUCAAAUUUGAAAUCUGGCUUGGCGCCACGCCGAGUCCGAAUUGUAGUUUACAGUCAGUGUAUCGGUGACACCAGCUGGUAUAAUUUGCCUGGAAUGGCAAGUCAUAGAGGGUGAUAAUCCCGUCCAUGAUCAGCCGCGUGCGCGCCACACGUUACACCGACCUAGAGUCGAGUUGUUUGGGAAUGCAGCUCAAAACGGGAGGUAGAUUUCUUCUAAAGCUAAAUAACGGCGAGAGACCGAUAGCGAACAAGUACCGUGAGGGAAAGAUGAAAAGAACUCUGAAGAGAGAGUGAAACAGUACGUGAAAUUGUUAAAAGGGAAACGCUUGAAACCGCUAUGGCGCAUGCUUCGGCACGCCUGCCAACAUCAGUUCGGAUGCACGCGGUACACAAAGCCGUGGGGAAGGUAGGACACGCUUCGGCGCGUCUGUUUAUAGCCCCGCGGUCAUGCACUGCGCCGGACUGAGGUCUGCCGCCGCAAGGCGUAGG
rnacentral:rRNA from 1 species